rnacentral:rRNA from 1 species
UACGAAGGGGGCUAGCGUUGCUCGGAAUCACUGGGCGUAAAGCGCACGUAGGCGGCUUGUUAAGUCAGGGGUGAAAUCCUGGAGCUCAACUCCAGAACUGCCUUUGAUACUGGCGAGCUUGAGUUCGGGAGAGGUGAGUGGAACUGCGAGUGUAGAGGUGAAAUUCGUAGAUAUUCGCAAGAACACCAGUGGCGAAGGCGGCUCACUGGUCCGGGUUCUGACGCUGAGGCGCGAAAGCGUGGGGAGCAAACAGG